CCAAGGUCCAUCAAGCUCUAGGGGGGGCAGCGCGCAGGAGCGUUUUAGACGAAGGCAAGGCGGACGGCCCUGCGCUGUCUGGGAGAGGCUUGAGGGACGAACACCCCUGCUUCGGUUCCUGUUGGCCAACCGGACCCUGUGGUGACCUAUUAAAAAUAUCUGAGACAGGAAAACAGAGAGGUUGGUGGUAUAGUGGUUAGCAAAGCUGCCUUCCAAAAAUUUGAUUCGGGUUCUGGUCCCGUACUGUGGUUGUCAUUUAAGCUUACCUUCUUAUUUCCCUGAAAUUUCCGUGAAAAUCAAUUUUCAGAAUUUUAUCAAACAGGAAGUUAGCCGUGAUUCCUCACGCCAAUCAUCCCAGCACUCGUGCUGGACUGAACGUCUGUAAACCACCAUGCCUGGUUAACAAGGAGCUGACACUGGGUCUGAGUCCAAAACCCAGCUUCAGCUUGAAUUUCAAGAUGGAUUUAUGUGAUGAGAGAAGCAGAAGGGGGUGCUUGGAGAUAGAGCCAAGGAAGAGGUGGGGAGGACCAGCUUGUGGAGGAGAGGGGAACCGAGAAAUGGAAAGCACCAGCUGGGACAUCCAGGAACUCCUCAUUCACCCCCACUGUCCCAUCAGCACCUCCCUGGCUCUGGUCCAGGUGGUUGGGGUAAGGAGUGGGCCCCCCGACUUAGGAGAGUCCCGCCCCAUCCCUGUCGCCCUCCUCCCUGCCUUCUCCUACCCCUGAGGCUUCAUCCCCUGGAGUGUGUUCAGCUGGAGAAAAGGGCUGGCUCUCCUACAAAGCAAACCUUUCCCUAAAGGCAAGCCGGGAAGUAGGAGAUGAAGAAAAGUUUCCAGAGCUCAGCCUCCUUCAAAGACUUGCAGCAGAGACUCGGCUCUUGCCACUGCUCAAGCCAAUCAACUUUGCAGGAAUGUUCUAGAGCCAAACCCACACAGCACUGGGUACCCUGAGACUGUCAAAAACAAAUAAACAAAAACAAGAAUCAAGUCCCAGAAAAGACACAAGAAGCCAGGGUAGGGGGCACCCUGGGAGAAACUUGUGUGGCCCAAAAAGAGUGGUCCCUCUGUGCUUCGGGACAUGUGAUGGGUCAUCAUGACUGUCUCUUAAACAUGGUGCAUCUGGCAUCAAUGACUCAACUUGGAGAGGUUUCCAUCAGAUAUGUGGAGAGGGAAGACCCAGCCUAAAUCUGGGCCACCUUCAAGUCAGGAAGGACAUAGGAGAAAAGGCUUUUGCUCACUGGCAGGUUCAUUCAUCCCUCCCUGCUGUUGGAACCUUCUUUGUGAUUCCAGUGUCAACUUAAGACCAGCAGCCUCCAAGGACUCCAGAUGGAUUCAGGUGAGACAUCUGGCCUAGAGGAAUAAGCAACAACUGGAUGUUUGGUCCCUCUGGUGUGAGAUGGCCAUUGUUGGGAAACUCAGACCAUGGACUGAGCAUUGUAACACCCUUCUGAGUGUAGUUCUAUUGUCACUUCUGCCACCAUGGCAUGUCAAGCAAGAACAUUAUCUCCAGAAGGUUCCUGGCAGUAUAUGGGUGACUCAACCUUUGAUUAAAGCACAGAAGAGAACUGGGUACUUUGUUGUUAAUUCACACACAUCUGUUAGGAGGGUGUCUUUAUUGGUUGGUUGGUUUGGGGUUUUGUUGUUUUGUCAACUUGAUACACACAAGUUUCAUAUGGGAAGAAGAAACUUCAAUUAAGACAACACCCACAUCAGAUUGAUGACUGAUUGGGUGGUGCCUAUUGUGGUGGUGCCGCCCCUGAGCUGGAGGUCCUGGGUUCUUUCUAUAAAGAAGCAGGCUGAACUUGCAAUGGGGAAAUAGCCUCCAUGGCCUCAGCAUCAGCUCCUGCCUCCAGGCUCUUGCUGUGACUUCCCUCAGUGAUGGACUAUCACAGCAACAGAGUGCUCAGUAGGACACCAGUUCUCCUUUCUCUACUGUAAAUGCAUACCUGUCACCACAUCACUCAAAGGUCUGAGACAAAAGGGUGGUUGUAAGUUGUAAGCCAUCCUGGGCCACAGAUAAAACAAAAUACCUGGUCCUCCAAGACAUAUGUGGCCAACAUGGCUAUGCAAGGCCUUCUUUUCCCUGCCCAGGACCUCAUGGCAUGCAUGGAGGCUAUGUCUUCUGAGUCCUCACUGCUUUCUCUGGAUCCUCCCCAAUAGUUCUGUCUCCUCUCUUCCCUCUAGCUCCUCUCAUUCUUUGGCUCCUCUGCCUGCUGCCCCCUUUCCUUUUCCCUCCUGUCUCAGAGCAGACCCCUCCCAUUCCCACUAAGAUAGCAUGGGGCCAGGGCCCAUAGGGAGGGGAAAUGAAAAUGGCCAUAGAAAAGGAAGUGGGGGGCAGAGGAAGACUUCAGAGGUCACAGGACCAAAACAGGGAGAGAAAGGGAGAAGGCAGGAGGAUCUCUGUGCAUUCCAGACCAGUUUGUGCUACACAGUAACACUCCAAAAUAACAAAAGUAAGCAAACAUUAAAAGCGGGAAAGUAAUGGAAACAAAAGCUGAGUUUGACUUCUGACCUCCACUCACACAUAAGUAAUGAAAAGUAAAUUGAGCCAGGCAGUGGUGGCUAGAGACAGGCUGACUCCAUGACAGGCUUCAAAUUGGCAGCCCAGGAGACUAGGCCUAAAAACUGGGCAAAUCCAGUCAAACCCAAACAAGACAGUUACUAGAAAGAAAAAAAAAAACUGCAGGCUUCAAGCAACUAGUCAGAAGCUGCCCUGCCACCUGUCCUGAAACAAGGACAAUGGAUCAGCAACAGUUUCCAGCCUCCACACCCCAGUAAUGGAAUGUCCCUAGAGAUGGAAUAAGAUAACGGUCACCUGCCCCAGAACCCCUCAUGUGCUUGAGAUGAGGCCUGUGAGCUCACUUGGGUGUCUCUCCAUCUUGGAAUGAGAGAAUCCCUCAUGCUGGACUUCUGCAGAAUAAAAUGCUCCUUGCAUUUGCAUCCUAUUUAAGUCUGGGGCAUCAUUCUUUGGUGAACAAUAAAUCCUUACAUUUGGGGACUUGUCUGGGAUUUACUGGAGAUCGGUCAUGGUUUGAAUAUGCUUGGCCCAGGGAGUGGCACUGUUUGGAGGUAUGGUCUCAUUGGACUAGGUGUGUUACGUGGGCACGGGCUUUUACACUGUAGUCCUGGCUACCUGGAAGCCAGUCUUCCAC
rnacentral:sRNA from 1 species